AUUGAACGCUGGCUGCAGGCUUAACACAUGCCAGUCGAGCGAGCGGCGGACGGGUGAGUAAUGUCUGGGAAACUGCCUGAUGGAGGGGGAUAACUACUUGAAACGGUAGCUAAUACCGCAUACCAUCGGAUGUGCCCAGAUGGGAUUAGCUAGUAGGGGGGGUAAUGGCUCACCUAGGCGACGAGCCCUAGCUGGUCUGCGAGGAGGACAAGCCACACUGGAACGGAGACACGGUCCAGACUCCUACGGGAGGCAGCAGUGGGGAAUAUUGCACAAUGGGCGCAAGCCUGAUGCAGCCAUGCCGCGUGUGUGAAGAAGGCAUUCGGGUUGUAAAGCACUUUCAGCGAGGAGGCGUUACUCGCAGAAGAAGCACCGGCUAACUCCGUGCCAGCCGCCGCGGUAAUAC
rnacentral:rRNA from 1 species